AAAGAAACCAACAGGGAUUGCCCCAGUAACGGCGAGUGAAGCGGCAACAGCUCAAAUUUGAAAUCUGGCUCCUCGGGGCCCGAGUUGUAAUUUGUAGAGGAUGCUUCUGGCGAGGCGCCGCCUGAGUUCCCUGGAACGGGACGCCAUAGAGGGUGAGAGCCCCGUCUGGCUGGCCGCCGAGCCUCUGUGAAGCUCCUUCGACGAGUCGAGUAGUUUGGGAAUGCUGCUCAAAACGGGAGGUAUAUGUCUUCUAAAGCUAAAUAUCGGCCAGAGACCGAUAGCGCACAAGUAGAGUGAUCGAAAGAUGAAAAGCACUUUGAAAAGAGGGUUAAACAGUACGUGAAAUUGUUGAAAGGGAAGCGCUUGCGACCAGACUCGGGCGCGGCGGAUCAUCCGGCGUUCUCGCCGGUGCACUCCGCCGUGCUCGGGCCAGCAUCGGUUCGCCUUGGGGGAGAAAGGCGUCGGGAAUGUGGCUCCUCCGGGAGUGUUAUAGCCCGGCGUGGAAUACCCUGGGGCGGACCGAGGACCGCGCGUUCUACGCAAGGAUGCUGGCGUAAUGGUCGCCAGCGACCCGUCU
rnacentral:rRNA from 1 species